AGCGUAGGUGGCUAACAUGUCAACUGUGAAAACCCGGAGCUCAACUCCGGACUUGCAGUUGAAACUGGUAGGCUUGAGGACGGUAGAGGAAGACGGAACUGCCAGUGUAGGGGUAAAAUCCUUAGAUAUUGGCAGGAACGCCGGUGACGAAGGUGGUUUUCUGGGCCGGUUCUGACACUGAUGCUCGAAAGCCAGGGGAGCGAACG
rnacentral:rRNA from 1 species